rnacentral:misc_RNA from 1 species
GAAAUGCGAUAAGUAGUGUGAAUUGCAGAAUUCAUUGAAUCAUCGAAUCUUUGAACGCACAUUGCGCCCUUUGGUAUUCCAAAGGGCAUGCCUGUUCGAGCGUCAUUUGUACCCUCAAGCUUUGCUUGGUGUUGGGCGUCUUGUCUCCAGUUCGCUGGAGACUCGCCUUAAAGUAAUUGGCAGCCGGCCUACUGGUUUCGGAGCGCAGCACAAGUCGCGCUCUCUUCCAGCCAAGGUCAGCAUCCACAAAGCCUUUUUUCAACUUUUGACCUCGGAUCAGGUAGGGAUACCCGCUGAACUUAAGC